UCUAAGCUGGAGUCCAGAGUGUGCAUUUUUCUUGAGCAAUCUUUAUGGCUUGACUUCAGGGGCCCUCUUCUCUCACUAGAGGCAUCAAAGUGUUUCCUGUCCCGAGAACUUCGCGGUAUCAUGAUCAUUCAAGAUAAAAUGGAAUCCAGUUAUUUUGCAGUAUAACAAAUGUUCUAAGUAUAUCACUUAGUGCCAGGUGUUAAACAACCUUAAGCACCUUAAUUACUUCAGCUGUUUUCAGAUGCUGCUCCCAGGAAAUGUACCUUGAGAAGAAGAUAGAACAGGAAUCUCUUACUGAAGCAGAGAAUCCCUCCCCAUCUGACACUUUGGAUUAUUUGUGAAUGACUCUGGCACUCUGAAGGACUUGCCACUUAGGCUAAAAUGGACUGAAAACAGCAUUCCCAUGAACCA